rnacentral:rRNA from 1 species
GCUCGUAGUUGGAUUUGUGGCGUCCGGUUGGGUCCCAGCCUGUCUGGGUGCUCGUGCUGGGUGCCAUCCUUGGGUGGAAGCAGUGUGGCAUUAGGUUGUCGUGCUGUGGAUGCCCAUCGUUUACUGUGAAAAAAUCAGCGCGUUCAAAGCAGGCUUAUGCCGUUGAAUGUAUUAGCAUGGAAUAAUAAGAUAGGACCUUGGUACUAUUUUGUUGGUUUGCGCACCGAGGUAAUGAUUAAUAGGGACAGUUGGGGGUAUUCGUAUUCCAUUGUCAGAGGUGAAAUUCUUGGAUUUCUGGAAGACGAACUACUGCGAAAGCAUUUACCAAGGAUGUUUUCAUUAAUCA